rnacentral:tRNA from 1 species
GGGUGUGGCUCAGCGAUAAAGCACUCGCCUAGCACGUGCAAGGUGCAGGGUUCGAUCCUCAGCACCACA